ACUUCCAAAGUUAAUAACUUCUUGACAGUUCAACAUCAUUAAGUCAUUCCCCACUUCCAUCUUCCUUCUAAACCACCUUUUUAAUGAGAAAUUGAUUCCAAUAUACAUAAUACCCUCUCUGUAUAGAGAUCAAAAGCACAAGCACAGUUGCUUUCUCACUCCAUUUUUUCCCACAAAAUUCUUCCCUAAAUCUUUGUUAGCAAACAUUACAAAGGGCAUUCUUGUUUGUACAAAGGAAAGAAAAGAUGUCUGCUACUGUUAGUAGUGGGGUUCUGUUCCUCCUUAUAUUCUUUAUGUUAAUUACAAGUUAUGGAGCCUCCAAUUCCCAUGUAUAUGGGGCAGAGCCGGAGAUGGUACCAGUAAUUGAGGAGAAGAUGAUGGUGAUGUUAAAUGAGACAAGAAGGAAGCUUGGGAGCUUCAAGAUUUGUGCAAUCUGCACUUGUUGUGGUGGGGCUAAGGGCUAUUGUGUGCCUUCUCCUUGUUGCUAUGCUAUCAACUGCAAUAUACCACAUAGGCCUUUUGGUUUCUGUUCUUUCACUCCCAGAACUUGUAAUUGCUUUGGAUGUCAUCUCUAAAUCCAGCUUCAAAUUACUAAAUUAUUCUGUUUUGGCAUUUAUUCUGUUUGAUUAUAUUACUAGAUAUUUUGGCAUUUAUUCUGUUUGAUUGUCUAAAAGAAGAGGUUAUGUGUAGGUUUCAUUUUUUGAAUUGUAAUUUAAGGGAGAGCUACUUCCAGGUAAGUUUUUUUUCUGCUUGGUGGGAUUUGUCCCUUAUAAUUAGUGUUACAACUAUAAUUGUUUUUUUGUUAUCACUAGGCUAGACUACUAGUUUUACCUAGAGUAAAGUCAAGACAUUCUAUUAUAUAUAUAUAGUUGUGUGUGAGGGUUUUAUUGA